CCCUUAGAUGUUCUGGGCCGCACGCGCGCUACACUGAUGCAUUCAACGAGUUUCUUCCUGGUCCGAGAGGAAUGGGUAACCUUUUGAAAGUGCAUCGUGAUAGGGAUAGACUAUUGCAAUUAUUGGUCUUCAACGAGGAAUUCCUAGUAGACGUAGUUCAUCAGACUGCAUCGAUUACGUCCCUGCCCUUUGUACACACCGCCCGUCGCUCCUACCGAUUGGGUGUGCUGGUGAAAUGUUCGGAUCGGCCGUUUGUCGCGGUUUCCGCGCCAUGUGGCUGAGAAGUUCAUUAAACCCUCCCACCUAGAGGAAGGAGAAGUCGUAACA
rnacentral:rRNA from 1 species